AUUGAACGCUGGCGGCAGGCUUAACACAUGCAAGUCGAGCGGAUGAAGGGAGCUUGCUCCUGGAUUCAGCGGCGGACGGGUGAGUAAUGCUUAGGAAUCUGCCUAUUAGUGGGGGACAACAGUUGGAAACGGCUGCUAAUACCGCAUACGCCCUACGGGGGAAAGGAGGGGAUCUUCGGACCUUUCGCUAAUAGAUGAGCCUAAGUCAGAUUAGCUAGUUGGGGGGGUAAAGGCCUACAAAGUCGACGAUCUGUAGCGGGUCGGAGAGGAUGAUCCGCCACACUGGGACUGAGACACGGCCCAGACUCCUACGGGGGGCAGCAGUGGGGAAUAUUGGACAAUGGGGGGAACCCUGAUCCAGCCAUGCUGCGUGUGUGAAGAAGGCCUUUUGGUUGUAAAGCACUUUAAGCGAGGAGGAGGCGCCCUAGAUUAAUACUCUAGGAGCGUGGACGUUACUCGCAGAAUAAGCACCGGCUAACUCUGUGCCAGCCGCCGCCGUAAAAC
rnacentral:rRNA from 1 species